AAUUUGCAAUAACUUAGCAAAACGCCACCUUAGUGAAAUAAUUAUACAAGAAUAUAUUUUAGCACUUUCCGAGAAUGCUACAUACUUAAUAAAACCCCGAAAGUUGCAUCAAAACUUACAAUUAUUUUGUUUUUAGUGUUUUUGUAUUUACACUCACGGGAACCCUGCGUCUAAUUUUUCCCGCGUUUUGCUCUUCUAACUCGCGGCCGACACCGUGACUUGAUAAAGUUUUUGCAUUAUUUUUGUCGUGGCUAUAGCCAAGAAAGAAAUUCGACACAUCUUAACACUUUUAUAAUAAAAAGACGUACAAACGAUGGAUGGAAGGACAAAGGAUGGGUUUGGAAAAAGUAGGCGAAUCCCAACUCAAGCAAGCUGCCAGCUUUAAAGGCAUGAUGCUAGGGCAGGAUGUAUUCAUCAAUACAGCUAAGUAACAAAAA